rnacentral:tmRNA from 1 species
GGGGACGCGUGGUUUCGACAGGGGAGGUGCGUCACAGGAUUGCAGGUUGAGGUGCCGCUCCCUCAUUAAACCGGUGGCAAAAAACAAACGCCGAACCAGUAAUGGUUGCAGCCUAACAAAUAGGUUGCCAUCCAACCCGGUCUCUCCCUGACGGGCCGGGAUUGGGUGCCGAAAAGUCGGGGUGCCGCCGCCCUGACGCCGAUGCCGGGUGGCGAAAGAAAACAUCGGCUGGCUUGGCUAAACUCGGUCAGUUGAGGUGAGCCGGGCAAGAUUAAAGAGCUGACUACACCUGUAGCAUACCCUGGACAGCUUCUUCUGGACGGGGAGUUCGACUCUCCCCCGUCUCCACCA